CCUACGGGAGGCAGCAGGGGGAAUAUUGCACAAUGGGCGAAAGCCUGAUGCAGCAACGCCGCGUGAGGGAUGACGGCCUUCGGGUUGUAAACCUCUUUUAGUAGGGAAGAAGGGCCUUCGGGUUUGACGGUACCUGCAGAAAAAGCACCGGCUAACUACGUGCCAGCAGCCGCGGUAAUACGUAGGGUGCAAGCGUUGUCCGGAAUUAUUGGGCGUAAAGAGCUCGUAGGCGGUUUGUCGCGUCUGCUGUGAAAACCCCGAGGCUCAACCUCGGGCCUGCAGUGGGUACGGGCAGACUAGAGUGCGGUAGGGGAGAAUGGAAUUCCUGGUGUAGCGGUGGAAUGCGCAGAUAUCAGGAGGAACACCGAUGGCGAAGGCAGUUCUCUGGGCCGUAACUGACGCUGAGGAGCGAAAGCGUGGGGAGCGAACAGGAUUAGAUACCCUGGUAGUCCACGCCGUAAACGUUGGGCGCUAGAUGUGGGGACCUUUCCACGGUUUCCGUGUCGCNCGCUACGCAUAGUCGCCCGCCGUCGGAGGUACGGCCGCGAGACGAAACGUACGAAGAGAGUAGUAACGGUCGUGAGACGUGCGACGGACGACGACGAGGAGGAGG
rnacentral:rRNA from 1 species